GACGUAGGGCGCGAGCGUUGUCCGGAUUUAUUGGGCGUAAAGAGCUCGUAGGCGGCUUGUCGCGUCGUUCGUGAAAACCUGCAGCUCAACUGCAGGCUUGCGGUCGAUACGGGCAGGCUAGAGUUCGGUAGGGGAGACUGGAAUUCCUGGUGUAGCGGUGAAAUGCGCAGAUAUCAGGAGGAACACCGGUGGCGAAGGCGGCGUCCUGGACCAACACUGACACUGAAAAGCGAAAGCCAGGGGAGCAAACGGG
rnacentral:rRNA from 1 species